rnacentral:lncRNA from 13 species
CAGAGAUUAGAAUGGAGUCCCAGAAAUGGAAGGAUCCAGCACAGCUCUUGGGACUGGACUCUCACUGACCUCCUUAGGAGUUUGUUAAUUCUCUGCCAUUACUGAGCCCAGCCUCAUUCUUCCUCAGGCUCUGCUGUUCUGCCUUUCCAUUAACGCCUCAUCCUCUAGUCAAGGCAUUGUUUUCAUACCUCAUGGAUUUUGUCUUCUGUUUACACAAAAUUCAGCUUCUCUCAGGAACCUGGAAUGAAUACUCUGGAGCUCACUGUGGGGGACCAAAAGUUGUGACCACAGUCAGAGACCUGGUCUGUCCAGACAGAAACACGAGGAAGCAGAGGAAGCUGUUGGUGGAAAGAUGAGUGUGAAAGACGCAGUGAGAAAGACAAGAAGAGGGGAGGCCGGGCAGAGGGUGGCGGCCGCCAUUCUCAAUGCCAUCCAGCCCAGCAUUGUUCCUGUAGGGCCUAGAUGUGUAUCUUGCUGUUGAAUGUCAUAAAUCGUCCUCUGUUCUUUAUAUUUGAGUUACUGUGUCUGAGUUUUUCUUUCUGGAAACCAGGUGAGUUGCUAUUAAAAUAAAGUGCCC